rnacentral:lncRNA from 1 species
UGCAUUUUUUAAAAGUUGGCCUUGCGCUAAAGUGAAGUCAAAAUUAACAAAUUUGUAGUGAUGGUAAGUGAUUUCUUUAUUCUAAAAUCCUAUCAAUAUUUACAUAGAUCAUGGAAAACGUUGCAAAAAGUAGAUUUCGUAUCAACUAUCAUCUCAACGAGUUUAGAGUCCGCCAUCUUGGGCUGUGGGUAACUUAAGUUACCCACGGCCGUU